rnacentral:rRNA from 1 species
GAUGAACGCUGGCUACAGGCUUAACACAUGCAAGUCGAGGGGAAACGACGGGGAAGCUUGCUUCCCCGGGCGUCGACCGGCGCACGGGUGAGUAACGCGUAUCCAACCUGCCUCUGACUGAGGGAUAACCCGUCGAAAGUCGGCCUAAUACCUCAUGGCAUCGUCUGCGGGCAUCCAACGACGAUUAAAGAUUUCAUCGGUCAGGGAUGGGGAUGCGUCUGAUUAGCUUGUUGGCGGGGUAACGGCCCACCAAGGCUACGAUCAGUAGGGGUUCUGAGAGGAAGGUCCCCCACAUUGGAACUGAGACACGGUCCAAACUCCUACGGGAGGCAGCAGUGAGGAAGAGUGGUCAAUGGGCGGGAGCCUGAACCAGCCAAGUAGCGUGCAGGAGGACGGCCCUAUGGGUUGUAAACUGCUUUUAUGCGGGGAUAAAGUGAGGGACGUGUCCUUCAUUGCAGGUACCGCAUGAAUAAGGACCGGCUAAUUCCGUG